rnacentral:rRNA from 1 species
AUUGAACGCUGGCGGCAGGCCUAACACAUGCAAGUCGAACGAGUGGCGGACGGGUGAGUAAUGUCUGGGAAACUGCCUGAUGGAGGGGGAUAACUACUGGAAACGGUAGCUAAUACCGCAUACUAUCGGGUGUGCCCAGAGGGGAUUAGCUAGUAGGUGGGGUAAAGGCUCACCUAGGCCACGAUCCCUAGCUGGUCUGAGAGGAUGACCAGCCACACUGGAACUGAGACACGGUCCAGACUCCUACGGGAGGCAGCAGUGGGUAAGAUUGCACAAUGGGCGCAAGCCUGAUGCAGCCAUGCCGCGUGUAUGAAGAAGGCCUUCGGGUUGUAAAGUACUUUCAGCGGUGAGGCGUUACCCGCAGAAGAAGCACCGGCUAACUCCGUGCCAGCCGCCGCGGUAAUAC